GGCCGGAUAGCUCAGUUGGUAGAGCAAACGCUUGAAGCGCGUUGUGUCGGCGGUUCGACCCCGCCUCUGGCCACCA
rnacentral:tRNA from 1 species